rnacentral:rRNA from 1 species
UACGGGGGGGGCAAGCGUUGUUCGGAAUUACUGGGCGUAAAGGGCGCGUAGGCGGCCUUCUAAGUCGGACGUGAAAUCCCUCGGCUUAACCGGGGAACUGCGUCUGAUACUGGAUGGCUUGAGUUUGGGAGAGGGACGCGGAAUUCCAGGUGUAGCGGUGAAAUGCGUAGAUAUCUGGAGGAACACCGGUGGCGAAGGCGGCGUCCUGGACCAACACUGACACUGAUGAGCGAAAGCCAGGGGAGCAAACGGG